AGCCUCUACUGCCAUACCACCAGUGUCCACCUCUGGUGUCAUAGGCCAACGUCAUAAAAUAGAAGGCAUUACUUUUGGAAUAUCCUUUGUAGAAACUAGUCUUGCCUGGAAGAAAAGACUUUAGAGAGUAUUACAGUAAAGGUAUACAGACAACAAAGAAGAAAUGCAAAAUGAUGUGAAUGCAACCUUGAACCAAGCACAUUGAUGAUGCAGGAGUUCACUGUCAUUCUGUUAAGGGUGGACAGUGUGGUGACUCUGGAUAGGGAGAGAAAUCAACCAGCUGGCAUAUGUCAUCUGUGUUUCAGAAAUAAAGGGAGAGAAGUGAGGAGCCCUCAGUGACUAUCCUGGAGUUUAAAGUUCACCAGAAUAGCUGGUGAACUUCGAGUGUUCAGAAGUGGAAAAGGGAGUGGACAUCCCAAGAAGAACAGAGAGAUAUUUUCUGUGUGUACAGAGGUGAAGCAAACCAGUGUUCAACUGGACUUGAAAACAAUGAAGGAUGUGAAGGAUGAGAAGAGGCUGACAGCUUGUUAUAGUGUGGCUUCAGACAAAACAAAAUGAGGAAAUGCACUACUCUCCUUGUCAAAGAACUGAGAUUCAAAAGUUGCUAUUUCUACUUUCUGAGACAAUAAGCGAUAGGACACAAUGAAAGGUUUCAAGUUGAGCAGAGAGGAAUUUCUUCAUGGUCAAGCUUUGGAAGAUGCUAUCCAGGGAAGUGAUGAAGUCUGCAUCCCUAGGAGACCUGAGGAGUCCCAGGCUUUACAAAAUGGAGUGAUUCACAGCAGAAGCCACAACAGAGACCACAAUAUGAGAAAGAGCAAAAGAGGAGGAAAGGCAAUGCGAAGGGGAGAAAAAAGGGAAAGAGAUGGUGAGCUCACACCAAGGACAGAUGAAAUAAAUACUUUUCAU
rnacentral:lncRNA from 7 species